GACCGGCAGCCGAGAAUUCUGGGAGCAGAAGUCUAAAACAGCCCUGAAGUCGGAGGCCUUUCUCCUUGGGACACAGGUUGUUUCUGCACUCUGCAGUGCUGUAGCGUCAGUGCAGUUUGUCACCCUUCGAAUUGCCCACAACCUUCUGAGUUUCAGUGGCUUCUCUAUGUAGUCUUACAUGGUGGUUGUUAGAGCGGCCCAGCAUUUCUUUGAUCUUAAAUAAUAUGCUAUGGCGAGGUCACCUUGAUUAGCAUUGAAUAGCCUUGCAGCUUCAAAGCUUGGCUGCUUCCUGCCUGUGGGAAUCCUUUGUUGGAAGUUGUUAGCUGGCCCUGAUUGUUUAUUGUCUGGAAUUCCUCUGUUUUUGUGUGAUUUAUUUACUGCCCUGAUUUUAAGAGUUUUUAAAACUCAGUAGCUAAUCCUUCCUUAUCAGCAACAUAUUAAAAAUAAUAGAUAUUUAAGUUUGCCCACCAAAAUGGAAAUCAUAAGAAAAGUGGUGAUUGGUGACAGUGGGAAAAAUAUUUCUAAAUGCACUGUGGAAGAGGAUUCUAAUCAGCUCUAGAAAGUUCAACAUGUUUUGUUUAUUUCAGUAAGGUUAUUUCAUUUAUAUUGUUUCAUUUCACAAACAUAUUUGUUUAGUUUUUAAAUAUGUUAAUAGUGGUAGUUUGUUUUAAUACUUGUAGCCAGAUUUUGUUAAUUUUUAUGGUUUCCGCCUUUCUGUUGAAAUUGUCCACAUGCUUGUGGAUUUCAGUGGCUUCUCUGUGUAGUCUGACAUGAUAGAUGUGAGAGUGGUCCAACAUUUCUGUGUUCUCAAAUGAUAUGCAGUGUCCUGGUUGGUUCAUCAGGUGCUCUGCUAUGGCUGACUUCUCUGGUUGAAUUAAUGCCUUUCAUGUUCCUUGAUUCCUAUUUGGGCAAUAUAUUGUAUCAUAUCAUAAUAUAUGGUACAAUAUAUUGUACCAAAUCAUAAGUUGUAGCAUAUCUAUCUAUAUCUAUAUAUAUAAGAGUGAUGGCAUCACGGCGACGCACAAAACAACAAACGUACAGGCCCCCCAACCUCGAAAUUUGACAAAACAACCCAUCAUCCACGCCUCUAGGUUGAUACAUCAAAAAGAAACCAAUUCAGCCAAAGGGCAGCCAGGAUUCAGUUAGGGGACAGGCAGAUUUAGGCCUCAUUUAGGUUUCUUCCACAGAUUAUCUAAUUUGCACUGGAUUAUAUCGCAGUGUAGACUCAAGGCCCUUCCACACAGCUAUAUAACCCAUUUAUAAUCUUAUUUUAUCUGCUUUGCACUGGAUUAUCUUGACUCCACACUGCCAUAUAAUCCACUUCAGUGUGCAUUUUAUACAGCUGUGAAGAAGGGGCCUCAUAUCAUCCAGUUCUAAGCGGAUAAUAUAAGAUUAUCAAUAUACAGUAGACUCUCACUUAUCCAGCAUAAACAGGCCGGCAGGAUAAGUGAAUAUGUUGGAUAAUAAGAAGGGAUUCAGGAAAAGCCGAUUAAACUUCAAAUUAGGUAAUCAUUAUACAAAUUAAGCACCAAAACAUCAUAUUAUACAACAAAUUUGACAGAAAAGGUAGUUCCACGCGCAGUAAUGCUAUGUAGUAAUUACAGUACUGUAUUUACAAAUUUACCACUAAAGUAUCACAAUGAAUUUAAAACACUAACUACAAAAACAUUGAUUAUGAAAAGGCAGACUGUGUUGGAUAAUCCAGAACAUUGUAUAAGUGAAUGUUGGUUAAGUGAGAUUCUACUUUAAUAUGAAAUAAUUACUGGGAUAGAAUAAGACCAAUAGAAUAAGACAAUAUAAUCUCUAAAACCAGGACAGUAAAUAAACGGGAAUUCCACACAGGAAACAAUCAGGGCCAGCUAACACCUCCCAACAAAGUAUUCCCAUAAUCAAAGUCUGGCAAAUCCUCUGUUUUCUCAGGGCCAGUAGAAGCACAUAAAAUAUCGCAAACAACACCACUCUGAAAAUAAGGGAAUUCCAGACAGGAAACAAUCAGGGCCAGCUAACACCUCCCAACAAAAAAUUCACUCAGGGAGGAAACAGCCAGGCUUUAAAGCUGCAAGGCCAUUACAUCCUAAUCAUUUUUCCUAAUUGCAGCAUUCAUACUUGCCUCCAACAGACAAAAAAAAAAAAACCAAUCAGAAAUAUUGUAUAUUCACAACCUUUAGGAAAUAAUAUCCCCUGAUGGCACAGCGUGUUAAAGCGCUGAGCUGCUGAACUUCUGGAUCGAAAGGUUUGAAUUGGGGGAGUGAAGAGAGCCCCCACUGUUAGCCCCAGCUUCUGCCAACCCAGAAGUUCAAAAACAUGCAAAUGUGAGUGCAUCAAUAGGUACUGCUCCGGUGGGAAGGUAACACCGUUCCAUGCAGUCAUCCCACAUGACCUUGGAGGAGUCUACGGACAACGCUGGCUCUUCGGCUUAGAAAUGGAGAUCAGCACCAACCCCCAGAGUCAGACAUGACUGGACUUAACGUCAGGGGAAAACCUUUACCCUUUACCUUAACUACCACCAAUUCCUCAAUACUUUAUUUCCCAUACCACCAGACUUCGCCACAGCAACGCGUGGCCGGGCACAGCUAGUACAGUAUAUAAAAAUGUAAUGUGAUGUUUUACUAUGGAGUAAACAACAAAGCCACUGAACCAAAUCACACCAAAUUUGGCCACAAAAGACAUAGUCAUCCAGUCUAUGUCUUUCAAACAAAAAACCCUAGAAAAAUAAAGUCCAAAUUAGAGGAUGAGGAAGAAUUGUUUUUUCCCCUUGCUGCCAGUUAGAAGGGUAGGCUCCGCCCACUUUGUCUCCUAGCAACCCACUCAGCCAGAGUGGCACCCAGGGCCUCUUCACUCAGGCCUUUUCCAAGACAGGAUAAUCCACAGUAUCUGCUUUGAACUGCAUUAUCUUGAGUCCACACUGCCAUAUAAUCCAGUUAAUAUAAGAUUAUAAAUAUAAUAUAAAAUAAUUGCUAUGGUAUAAUAAUACAGAACAAUAUAAUCUCUAAAAUCAGGACUGCAAAUAAAGAGCAACACUCUGAAAACAGGGAAAUUCCAGAAAGGAAACAACCAGGGCCAGCUAACACCUCCCGACAAACGAUUUGCCCAGGCUGGAAGCAGCCAGGCUUUGAAGCUGCAAGGCCAUUAAAUGCUAAUCAAGGUGACUAAUUACAGCAUUCCUACUUGCCGCACCGAGACUAUUCAUUGCUAUUCAACCUGGCCAACCAAGAAUUCCGCAAGGUAGAAAGCCGGCCAGGCUUUGAGGCUGCAAGUUUUCUUUAAGAAGAAAAAGGCCAGGCUUUGAGGCUGCAAGGCUAUUCACUGCUAUUCCACCUGGCCAACAAAUGAUUUCCACAGCAACGCGUGGCCAGGCACAGCUAGUAGAAUAUAUUUUCCUGCUUUGCACAAGGCUACAAGUAACCCAGCUGUCUGCUCUUGCAACAGUAGUUAUGGAUUCUCCACAUAAGAGGACAUUCUCGAUGCUUUCUUGGUGGUGGCCCCCCGGCUCUGGAACUGUCUCCCCAGGGAAAUCAGAUCAGCCCCCACCCUGUCCACAUUCCGCAAAGACUUGAAAUCAUGAUUGCUUCAAUGUGCCUUUGAAUAACAGAUCAGACUGCAGUCACAAUCGGCCAGUCCUAAUUUAUUCUUUGUUCUGUCUUCUAGCACUUUAUUCCCACUCCUGAUCCUACUGUCCUGCCUUUUGCACAACCCUGCCCUUCCCUUGCAAAUUCUAACACUGUAGUAAAAUAAAUGUAUUUUAAGAUAUAUUUUAUUUCAGAUGUAUUUUAUUUCUCUGGUUUAAUGGUUUUAACUGUAUUGUUCUGUCUGUCUUUUAAUUUUUGUAUUUUGUAUUCUGUAUUGUAUUUUGUACUUUGUAUUCCCUGCUUCUUGGGCUUGGUCCCCAUGUAAGCCGCUCCGAGUCCCUUUGGGGAGAUGGAAGUGGGUUAUAAGAAUAAAGUUGUUGUUGUUGUU